rnacentral:lncRNA from 1 species
AGUGAAGAUAGAGAGCGCUUUUUAAAACUCGGAGACUCAACGUGACUCCGCCUCUAAAGCACAGAUUUGGAGAAGAAAAAUGGAGAUGGCUAAAUGUGUUACUUGUAGAUAAGAUGAUCCAAGGUUUAUACGUAUUUGAGAACCUGUUGUCCGAAACAUAAAAAGGGGACAUUUGUGAUAGCGGGACAAGGGCCACGAUUAUGGCUUGCCAAAGAGGAGAGGGAGUCGAGAUAUUUGUUGC